AACCGUUCAGGGGUAAACUUGAGAAACCCAAAAGAUCGAAUGGGGAGAUUCAUCGUCGACGAGCUGGCUCCCGUAGGUGCGCGAUGCCCCUGGCGAAUCCUCGUGGUUCGUUUAGAGGGCACACCAUCUACGGCCUGUUUGACCGGUAUUCGUAGUCGUGCACUUCUCCCCUAGUAGAACGUCGCGACCCGUUGUGUGUCGGUCUAAGCCCGGGUGGGAGCCUGUCACGUCGUUUCGGCGCUCGUGAACAGACCCUCGGUAGCGUGGCCGGUUGCACGACGGUACUCGUACGGUAUCGGGCCGCAACCAGUACAUUUUCGAAUGUGUUUGCGUCAGGCCCGUCGCAAGCUCGAUCAGUUCUUACCCGGAGGCACGGAUACGAGCCGUCCCCGGGCCUGCUCAGCUGCUAGCAGACGGCGUCCUUCGACUGGCCAAUUACCGGUCAGCGACGCUAUUGCUUUGGGUACUUUCAGGACCCGUCUUGAAACACGGACCAAGGAGUCUAACAUGUGCGCGAGUCAUUGGGAUAGAUAAACCUAAAGGCGAAAUGAAAGUGAAAGUCGUCCUUUGCGUCGACCAAGGGAGGAUGGGUCGAUGAUAUGAGACCUCGCACUCCCGGGGCGUCUCGUUCUCUCUCUCAUCGAGAGAGAGAAGAGGCGCACCAAGAGCGU
rnacentral:rRNA from 1 species